rnacentral:rRNA from 1 species
UACGUAGGGUGCGAGCGUUGUCCGGAAUUAUUGGGCGUAAAGAGCUUGUAGGCGGUUUGUCGCGUCUGCUGUGAAAAUCCGGGGCUCAACCCCGGACUGCAGUGGGUACGGGCAGACUAGAGUGUGGUAGGGGAGACGUGGAAUUCCUGGUGUAGCGGUGGAAUGCGCAGAUAUCAGGAGGGAAUACCGAGUGGCGAAGGC